rnacentral:rRNA from 1 species
CGACUGUUUACCAAAAACAUAGCCCUUGAACUAAUCAAAGGUGUAACCUGCCCAAUGAUUUUUAAAUAAACUAGAAUAAAAUUCUCGAAACAAAAUUUAAAGGACGCAGUAUCCUGACUGUGAUAAUGUAGCAUAAUCACUCGCCAUUUAAUUGGUGGAUAGUAUGAACGGUUGAACGAAUAUUACACUGUCUCCUCCGAAAGAUUCCUAAAAUUAAAAUAAUAGUAAAGAUGCUAUUUAAAACUGUAAGACGAAAAGACCCUAUAGAGCUUAACUAUAUUCUAUAUUAAAAACAAAAGACUUAAAAAUCUAAACACAUAUAGAAUGGUAGUUUAGUUGGGGCGACUAUCUUCUAAAUAAAACGAAGACAAGCAAUGUUAACAAAUUAACUUAUUGUAUAAUCAAUAUAUUUAACAAUUAUAAUAAUAGGCUAUAAUGACCCAUUAACAUUAAAUAAAAAAGUUAAUGAUCAAUAAAUAAAAGCUACCUUAGGGAUAACAGGAUAAUUUAGUUAUAGAGAUCAUAUCGAAAACUAAGUUUGUCACCUCUAUGUUGAAUUAAGAUAUCCUAAUAAUGCAGAAGUUAUUAAAGGUAGGUCUGUUC